AGUUUCCAGAGAUAAGCCAUCAACUGACUUCAUGCAUUCCACUUUGAUGACUUUAUAUAGCAAGAGUCCAUAUCGGUAAACAAUUUACCUCGUGCUUUUGAUUCCUGUCAGAUUGACCAUGGACGGUGAAAUUUCACAAGAGCUGGGGAGUUUAGAGGGUGAGACAAUAGUAGAAAGAAAAUGCCCAGGCGGAUGGUCAUCCAAAUACAUCCUAUUGCAUGGACAAUAUAGACCACUGGACAACGUUCAGGGUCAAGAAAUACUAGACCCAAGGUUUCAUGUACCACAACUCCGCAAUAUGGAAAUAUUUGACGAUGACAUCGUGAUCUAUGCCUACCCUAAAUGUGGUAUGACAAUCGUAGUUUUUAGAAUUAAAGUCAGAUUCACAUGAAUGUAUGCAGACCACCUCUUCGUCCAUUAUUCUUUAACAUAUUAAUAUUAAAUAUAACAGUUGACAUGUAUGCUUUAUUCGAAGAUGGACAUUUGCAAGUGAAGUUUUUAUAAAAAUAAAAUGGGCUAACCUGAAACCUGCAAUGCUGACUCCUCCUAAUUCCUCUGGUGUGUCGAGGGGUCCCAGUUUGCUCCAAUCUCAAUUUUGUACUCUUUAUAGAGUGGCAUUAAUUCCAUUUUUGUUAAUCGUACUGAUACUUUAACUGCCCUUUCAAAACAUGAAAACCUUCAAAACCAUGCUUCUGUUUUAGACACAUUUAAUAUCCCAGUCAAUGGGUCGGAUGGAUAUGAAUUACGUACCUAUACUGGAUUCCUUAACUUCAUAAAACCUUCCAAACAAAGAUACAUUGCUGGAUCCGUUAAAUGUUCUACCAAGCCUCUAUCUUUGCUCCUCAUGAAAAUAUUAACAGCUGUGAAGAAGAAACUUUAAAGGUACUGUGAUAUUACAUAUGUCAGAAGUGGUGUAAAUCAAAUGUGAAUUCUAAAAAAAAAGUCUAAAGAACUUUUAGUAAACUUGAAAUCGCAGAACGUUUCUCAAAUCAACAACAUCAUAGCGUAUGCCUUUUCAACACUUUAGAACACCAUUUCUCACAAUAAAUCAAAGACUAGACUUUUUGACAUCAUAGACAGUUGCUUCUUCAACAGAAAUGGAAAGCGGAAAUG